ACGUUUCGUUUUUUUGUAAAAAAACACCCGACCACAAACGGAGCACGGGCUCGCGCUCGCCUCCUCUCCCUCUCGCGCAGAAGUCCUCGCCGCCGCCGCCACCACCCACGCCGGAGCUCGCUGGACGGUCGCUUCCAGCGAGCUCCAUCGCCGCGCAACACGUACCCGAGCUCCCCACGGUCCGCGCCUUCCUUCCCUCCAGCCAGUUUCUCCGCUCCCGGCCUCUAUCGUCCGCUCCCAACCCCACCCCCAUGGCUAGGGUUUCGGGCAGGGCUUCGUCGGCGCGUCUCCCGCUCGCCGCCUUCUCCCACCACGCUAGCCUCCCUUCCCUAGCUACCCUCCCGUCGUGGAGCACCCUCACUGGGCACUCCUUUCUCUCCCCCUCCUGGCUCCUCCCGUCACCGAACUGAAGCACCAGCCGUUCCUCCUCCACCCCCUGAUUUGGGGCAGCAACACCAUGAGCUAACACCCAGGCGACGAUCUCCUGCUGGUGUGGGUCAGUGUGGGCUUCCUCGAUCUGGGGCAGACUGGCCGGUUCCGGCGUGGGGAGAGGAGGAAGGUGAGACGGGAGGCCAAGGCAACGGCGAGAUCCACGUCGAGCCACCAUGGCCAUGACCAGAUCCACGAUGAGGUUAAAUGGGGCCGGCUGCUCCCUACAGGACGACGAAACUCUUCAAGGGUGAUCCUUCUCUUUUCCCCGAGAUUGAUGUGCCUGUGGCAUGCUUGCUCUCCAUGUGUAUGUGCUUGUUGUAUUUGCCUGCAUCUGAUGGUUCUUCCAAUGUGCGUGCUUGAGAAAUACACCUGCAGGUGAUGAUUCUUCAUGAUAUGUGCCUGCUUCUUGUGUUGCUUCCAGGACAUAGAACUACCUGCAAUGAUUCCUUGUGUGCUUUUGUUCCGGGUUCCUUAGCUUCUUUUGGUGGAUUAGCUACUGUAUAAAAUAAAACAAGCAAGCAGUUCAUAUGGGUUGAUUAGCUGAUGCAUGUGAUGCGUAUAAAUGGAUAAUUGAGAUGGGUGUGAUUUAUUCAUGAGAUGUACUCUGAUUUCUAAGAAAAGGGUUUCUUCUUGGUUGAGAAUAAUAUAAUUUGAGAUGUACUGCUAUGUGUUUGCUCUCCAUCUUGGACAUUCUAAGCUACAACUGGUGAAGUGUUGAUAGGUUUGAAUUAGGUAUUUUGGACCUAACACAUUUCUAUCAAUUGUUUCAGAUUGACCCCGCGAAUUACAAGAGCAUCUCAUCUGGAUUUGGUGUUCUGUUAAAGGAGCAAGGAGCUAGGGGAUUCUUCAGGGGAUGGGUACCUUGCUUGGUUAUAGUGCUCAGGGCGCUUGCAAGUUUGGGUUCUACAAGUUCUUUACGAAGACCUACUCAGAUAUGGCUGGGCCUGACAACGCCGUGAAGUACAAGACCCUAAUUUACCUUGCAGGUUCAACUUCUGCUGAGGUUGGAGAGAAUAUGUACGACUAAUGUUUGAGCAGAAGGAGAGUGAAAGAUGCAAGAGUGAUACACCCAAUCACUUGAUUUGAGUCAAACCUGGUUUGUUGUACAGGAUUCCACUGUAUUUGUCCGCACAAAUACUUCUUGAUAUUUACUCAUGAUAGUUUUUCUCCAUAGUUCAGUGUCUACAUCUCUAUUCUCCUAAUAUAGUCAUAUUGUCCAUAUAAGUGCAGCUUUUAUUUUGAGUUCUUCCUGGAUGCCACUCUGAAGGUGAAUUCUUCCUGGGUGUAUCAUGCACCUGUGUCUUGCCGUUCUAUAUUCUCAAGUCUGAACUGCAGAUUCUCAAAGGUUUUAUUCACUCACCAGCUCUGGCUUUUGGUGUACACGGUACACCGUGAGGCAAGAAGGUUGACAUGUUCAUCUGUUAUCAUGAGUGUCGUGUUUACUCUUGCAGUUCAGUUGUUAAGCUUAAGCUAAAGAUCUGAUUGUACUGUCUAGAGGUGGAAUGGCUAAGCUCUCUUUAUAAUCCUUUUACUGAAUAUCUUGCAAAUGACACACUAAAGGGCAUGAAGUUAUUAGGUGUGUGGGUAUCAGUCCACUAUGUUCUUAUGUCUAUGGAUCCGCGAAAUGUUUGAUGCUUUAUUGGUUUUGGUCACAAAAAUGUUUGGUGUACAUGCUUUCAUCUUGAAUAUAUGUAGCUCUAAAUAAUGCUACUUCCCAGUUAGUUCAUUGAAGUAAUAAUACAAUCAAUUGGAUGUUCUUCUACUGUUAUGGGUCUAGCGGAAAAAAAUGUUUGUUUCGAUAUCAUUGUAUUUCUCCAUAGUUCAUUGUCAACAUCUUUAUUCUCCUAAUACAGUCAUAUUAUCCAUAUAAGUGCAGCUUUUAGUUCGUAAAAGUACUUUGUACUUUGCCCAAUUGAUUUCACUAGAUCCCCUGUUUGUACAGUAUGGAUGAAACACCUUGCAAUUAUUUCACUAGAUCGAUUGAUGAUAGCUUGCUGUUGCUGAUGAAACCGAAGAAACUGUAUCUAUUCCAGGCCAGUUGCCAACCAAACCAACAUUGUCUCAGUUACUGGUUCAAAGAUGUCUCAAACCACGCACAAACAUUUCAGUUGAUACAUACACCAUAAGUUUGGUUGUCCGCUCUUUUAGAUGCCCAGAAGCAUGAUUCUCGAGAUCAUUGCUCACUGAACAUAAGACCAAAUGUUCCAAUUUAUUUUAUUGCUCAAAGAAGAAUUGGUGUUCUGUUGUCUUAUCCUGCGACACUAUAUGGCAUCAGGUUGUUUGCUUCCAUCAAUUGGCUUGUGGGUUGUGCUUUGCACUGUUAUCAGUGUUUCUGUCAGAUUAUUGUCUAGCUUAAUGAUCUGUUGCACCAACAUGUAUGGAAGUUGUUGGUGUGGUGAUCGCCGUAGGGCCCGGACUGACUGGCAAGAAAGAUGGGGAUGUUGUCGCGUACGCAGGCAAGCCGAUGGGCUCUUAUGCUAAAGAGCAGAUUAUUCCAGCCAAUGUUGGUUCCCGUCACGCCUUUGAUUGAUCACACAAUGGCUGCUAUCAUGCUGAAGGGGAUGACUGUCCAUAUGCUGGUUCGCAGCAUAUUUAAGGUACAUUUUGUCUUGUUCCUGCUGUGUGACAUACUGAUCCGCUGCACAUCCGCGUGAAGCACACCCACCCACUGCCGGAGGCGUCCCGCGCCCAUGCUGAUCUCAAGGCCCGGAAGACGCCGAGCUCCGUACUGCUGACCCCGUAGAACUGAGCACUGUCAUAUUUUUUGGGUAGGAGAAGAAGGAAUAAACAGGGGACUCGGCGAUGUAUGUGCUCUAGAAUCUACAAUGCUUGUGAAUAUGUUCGCAGGUGUUGGCAUCUGAAUACUGAAUCCUCCGUCUGUCUGUUUCACCUCGUUAUGUUGGAUUCAGUAUGAAUGAGUGUGUUUGGUGGUUAUGAGUUGGAUUGUGGUCUUGUUGUGCACAUCACUGUUUGAAGCAUGAUGAGUUGUAAAGACCAAUAUUUUCCAAUAUAGUGACCUAGCAGGACAAGUAUU